UACGUAGGGUGCGAGCGUUGUCCGGAAUUAUUGGGCGUAAAGAGCUCGUAGGCGGUGUGUCACGUCGGCCGUGAAAACCUGCAGCUUAACUGUGGGCGUGCGGUCGAUACGGGCAUCACUGGAGUUCGGCAGGGGAGACUGGAAUUCCUGGUGUAGCGGUGAAAUGCGCAGAUAUCAGGAGGAACACCGGUGGCGAAGGCGGGUCUCUGGGCCACUACUGACGCUGAGGAGCGAAAGCGUGGGGAGCGAACAGG
rnacentral:rRNA from 1 species